rnacentral:rRNA from 1 species
UACGUAGGUGGCAAGCGUUGUCCGGAUUUACUGGGCGUAAAGAGCGCGCAGGCGGUCGUUCAAGUCGCGUGUGAAAGCCCCCGGCUCAACUGGGGAGGGUCACGCGAUACUGAUCGACUCGAAGGCAGGAGAGGGUAGUGGAAUUCCCGGUGUAGUGGUGAAAUGCGUAGAUAUCGGAAGGAACACCAGUGGCGAAGGCGGCUACCUGGACUAACACUGACACUGAGGCGCGAGAGCGUGGGGAGCAACAGG